GCCAAAAGUCCCUUUGGUCACUUAAAAUGUUAAUUUAUGAUGUGUCAAAGUCAUGUGUUCACUACCGGGUUAAACUAAUGAUACAUGCACACAGCACGUUAUUCACAUGUUGGCCAGUAGAGAGCGCAUGCGCCUUUGUUAUUCCAGUCACUUCUUCACUGAACGUCACCCAGUGAAGACACGAGUCAUCAUUGUAUUACAAAGACAAAGUUUAAAAGUUAAAAAUACUUGUUACUUCUGUGACCGAGUGUUGGAAAAGCAGCAUAAGCGAGCCGGGUUCCAGUGGGCGUUGGAUUGCUGUGCUUUGUGCUGCUGAGAACUCCACAGAGUGAGGGCGAGUGCGGGCAAACACUUCCUCUCGCCACGAAAUUACCUCCUGUCCCUGGGAAUCCAUUUCCUGUUCGCUGUUACUACAACAGCACUUAACAGCAUUCCCCUGGACCUGGAAUCGACCCCGCGUUCCUCAGUGGCUGGAGCGGCCGGCGCCUCCUCUGACAGAGCGCUAAGACGUGCCUCCGCUGACAGCGUGGUCAGACACGCCCCCGCUCGUGCUGAGCGCAGCACGCCCACGCAGCAACAAGCCUGCACAAAAUCAAUAAUCAACAGACCUGGACUUGACGAGAGGGAGCGGCAUAAAAGACCAGUGAAGGCAGGACACCUUCGCCAGAACGUUGUCAAUCUCACCUGAGUAAGCAUCAGUGUCUUCAGUGAUCGUGUCCUUGCCCCACGACCUCCUCCCCGAUUGUUGCUUGCCUUCCCCGAUCCUUGACCACUGUUUGGACCCUGACAUUGUUGCCUCUCUCCAGCCCUUGACUGCUUGCCUUCCCGCUGACUACCCCUUCGCCUCACCCCUUUUGGAUUCGACGAACGAUACAUCCAACACGCACCAACAAUAACCACUGGUAAAUUCACAUUGGUUAAUUCCACACAUAGUCUGCAUUCACUCACUAGUGGUAGCAUACACAGCCCGCACAUUCAUUAAAGGUUUAAAUAAACCUUCAAAACGCAGUUCUGCCUUGCCGUCGCCUCCUUCCCUUUGCCUAGUGCAUAAAAACUACAGGGUUAUCUUAUAGGAUUUAAGGUAUACUGGGGUUAGGAAGAGGUGGGUUAAAAGAUCGAGCUGGUGAGUGUGGGUAAAGGGUUGGAUGGUUGUAUAAUUGCAUUUAUUAUUUUUUUUUGUUUAUGUCAAGUUUUUUGUGAAAUGGGGUUUUAGAUUGGGCACUACUGUCUGACCCACACUCCAGAGCAGAAGGUGGCGGUGAUGCACCAUUAGUUGGAUGCCAACUGCCGUAAAACAGGAAGAAGAAGAAGAGCAUUCAUUCAUAAGGCUGUGUCAAUUGAUGGAAGGACUUUUAAAUUCGAAUGGAAAAGACAGUUCAAGCCACGGUCAAUACUGUUCUAGACGAAGUUUCCAAUGUUCUAAGUUCUCAUUGUCUUACCAGUUGUGCAGAAUGCUUAGUUAUUGUUACUCCGUUUGCAGGGCACAAGCAGCUUGAAGAGGUUCAUUAUCUUUCAUCUCAUUCAUAUUUCGUUCAGGAGUUCGAAUUAAACCCACAUUUCCAUAGCUACUUUCCUAAAUAAAUGUUUCUUUUUUUUUGCCAUCA